GACGAACGCUGGCGGCGUGCUUAACACAUGCAAGUCGAACGGAAAGGCCCUGCUUUUGUGGGGUGCUCGAGUGGCGAACGGGUGAGUAACACGUGAGUAACCUGCCCUUGACUUUGGGAUAACUUCAGGAAACUGGGGCUACCGGAUAGGAGCUCCUGCUGCAUGGUGGGGGUUGGAAAGUUUCGGCGGUUGGGGAUGGACUCGCGGCUUAUCAGCUUGUUGGUGGGGUAGUGGCUUACCAAGGCUUUGACGGGUAGCCGGCCUGAGAGGGUGACCGGCCACAUUGGGACUGAGAUACGGCCCAGACUCCUACGGGAGGCAGCAGUGGGGAAUAUUGCACAAUGGGCGGAAGCCUGAUGCAGCAACGCCGCGUGCGGGAUGACGGCCUUCGGGUUGUAAACCGCUUUCGCCUGUGACGAAGCGUGAGUGACGGUAAUGGGUAAAGAAGCACCGGCUAACUACGUG
rnacentral:rRNA from 1 species